AUUGAACGCUGGCGGCAUGCUUUACACAUGCAAGUCGAACGGUAACAGGCCGCAAGGUGCUGACGAGUGGCGAACGGGUGAGUAAUGCAUCGGAACGUGCCCAGUCGUGGGGGAUAACGCAGCGAAAGCUGUGCUAAUACCGCAUAUUAUCUGAGGAUGAAAGCGGGGGACUAAGCAGCAAUGUUUGGCCUCGCGCCUUUGGAGCGGCCGAUGUCAGAUUAGGUAGUUGGUGGGGUAAAGGCCUACCAAGCCGACGAUCUGUAGCUGGUCUGAGAGGACGACCAGCCACACUGGGACUGAGACACGGCCCAGACUCCUACGGGAGGCAGCAGUGGGGAAUUUUGGACAAUGGGCGCAGGCCUGAUCCAGCAAUGCCGCGUGCAGGAAGAAGGCCUUCGGGUUGUAAACUGCUUUUGUACGGUAACGAAAAGGCUCUGGUUAAUACCUGGGCUCAUGACGGUACCGUAAGAAUAAGCACCGGCUAACUACGUCG
rnacentral:rRNA from 1 species